CUGGGUAUUUUAGAUCAUCGGC
rnacentral:miRNA from 1 species